UCUGUGGUAGUCUAGUGGUUAGGAUUCUGCACUUUCACUGCUGCAGCCCAGGUUCACUCCCUGGUCUGGGAA
rnacentral:tRNA from 1 species